GAUUUCGAUCGAUUGGGUGAUGUUCUUCAUUGAUUAUUCUUGUUGGAUUAGAGGAAGCAUCGGAUAGCUGUUUUAGGGCUUAGACCUUCUUCUCUAUAGACUAAUCCUCCUCUGUUCUUGAUCCUCCUCUUCUUGAGGUUGAUUUAGGUCACGGAUUGGGCAAUUUCUUUUGGAGACAACCGAUUGAGUGAGGUUAUGUGCUCCUGCGGUGGAUCUAGAAUUGGGUUCUGUGGCAGCUUGGUUUCCAGCAGUGUUCUGUGAGGUUGCUUAUUGUUGGUCCGACAGCACCCACAACCGGUAGCUCCUCUAGUUCCAGCAUCAACAGUUGCUGGAAAUUGAGGAUUCUGAUUCGAGAUGGGCGUCUCGAAGUUGACAUUGGAUUAGGAUUGGAUUGUACCUUCUAUUUGAGGCGGGUACCCUUUGACUUAUCUUUUGAUACUGUCUUAUGAUAUGUGCACUUUAUAUAUAUAAUUACUAGUGAUGGGUAGAUUUAUCACUUCCUUGGUUAUAGUUUAUUCGAUACUUGUAGGCGGUUACUAAUGAUUGGUAGUUUUAGUACUUCCCCUGGUUUUAGCUAGUUGAUACCUAUCACAUGCUUCAUCUGCUAGUUGCUUUACUUCAGGAUUGGAUAUU